rnacentral:rRNA from 1 species
UACAGAGGGGGCAAGCGUUGUUCGGAAUUACUGGGCGUAAAGGGCUCGUAGGCGGCCAACUAAGUCCGACGUGAAAUCCCAAAGCUUAACUUUGGAACUGCGUCGGAUACUGGAUGGCUUGAAUUCGGGAGAGGGAUGCAGAAUUCCAGGUGUAGCGGUGAAAUGCGUAGAUAUUGGAAAGACCACCGAUGGCGAAGGCACUCUACUGGGCCAUUACCGACACUGAGAGACGAAAGCUAGGGGGAGCAAAUGGG